CUCUCCUUGUGCUUCUUCUGAGAGGAGGAGCCUGCUUGGAAUGACUUAUAUCACCAUUCGGAGCUAAAACUGCCCUCUUCAAAGUCCACAGAAAUGGUGCAGAAGAUGCAGAAUAAUUUGGACUAAACAUAAACUCUGCCACACUCAAGGAGCAACGGAUAAGCAGCGCCGCCAUGGAACCAGUGAUCAGAGGGGGCAAUGGGACGGUGUCUUCCUAACUCCAAACCAUGAGCAGUGUCCGGAGCCUGUCUAACCUCUCAGACCGUGGGAGGCGAUGGCAUUUAAUGUAUUGGCUGGAUGGCACAGCAUUCCAUUUAAUGAAGUCAAAUGAGGGCUACAUCUUCAAUUUUCUGAGCCUAACGAUCAAACAGAAGCAGCCUAGAUAA
rnacentral:lncRNA from 1 species